rnacentral:rRNA from 1 species
GGAACCUGCGGAAGGAUCACUAC